rnacentral:tRNA from 1 species
GGGCGGUUAGCUCAGGGGUAGAGCACUUCCUUGACGCGGAAGGGGUCGGGAGUUCGAAUCUCCCACCGCCCACCA